rnacentral:rRNA from 1 species
GACCUCCAGUUGCGAAAAGCGUGGGAGCAAACCAGGAUUAGAUACCCUGGUAGUCCCCCCGUAAACGAUUCAGAUGGAGUGUACCUGAGGUCUUAGUUCCGCAGCUAACGCGUUAAGUCGACCGCCUGGGGAGUACGGCCGCAAGGUUAAAACUCAAAUGAAUUGACGGGGGGCCCGCACAAGCGGUGGAGCAUGUGGUUUAAUUCGAAUGCAACGCGAAGAACCUUACCGUGGCCUUGACAUCCAACUGAACUUUGCGCAGAGAUGGCAUUGAGUGCCUUCGGGAACACGUGAGACAGGUGCUGCAUGGCUGUCGUCAGCUCGUGUCUGUGAGAAUGUUGGGUUAAGUCCCGUCAACGAGCGCAACCCUUGAUCCUUAUGUUGCCAGCACGUAAUGGUGGGCAACUCUAAAGGAGACUGCCGGUGACUAAACCGGAGGAAGGUGGGGAUGACGUCAAGUCAUCAUGGCCCUUACGGCCAGGGCUACACACGUGCUACAAUGGUCAUACAAAGGAAGCCACCUCGCGAGAUUGUGCGAAGCUGAGAUCCUCAUAAAGCUCGGCAGUCGUAGUCCGGAUCGCAGUCUGCAACUCGACUGCCGUGAAGUCGGAAUCGCUAGUAAUCGCUGAAGAUCAGAAUGUCUGACGGUGAAUACGUUCCCGGGCCUUGUACACACCGCCCGUCACACCAUGGGAGUGGGUGCACACAAGAAGUAGGUAGUUUAACCUUCGGGAGGAGCGGUUACCACGGUGUGAUUCAUGACUGGGGGAAGUCGAACAAGGAAC